rnacentral:rRNA from 1 species
AACGAACGCUGGCGGCGUGCUUAACACAUGCAAGUCGAACGGGAGUAUUGAAGAAGCUUGCUUUAGAGAUACUUUAGUGGCGGACGGGUGAGUAACGCGUGAGGAGCUGUCCGAUGCAGGGGGACAACAGUUGGAAACGACUGCUAAUACCCCAUAAGCCGAGAGGUAAAAGGAUUUAUCCGGCAAUGGAGGUACUCGCGUCCUAUCAGCUAGUAGGUGAGGUAACGGCUCACCUAGGCGAAGACGGGUAGCCGGCCUGAGAGGGCGAACGGCCACACUGGAACUGUGAUACGGUCCAGACUCCUAUGGGAGGCAGCAGUAGGGAAUCUUCCGCAAUGGGCGAAAGCCUGACGGAGCAACGCCGCGUGAGUGAUGAAGGGUUUCGGCUCGUAAAACUCUGUUAUUAGGGAAGAACAAACGUGUAAGUAACUGUGCACGUCUUGACGGUACCUAAUCAGAAAGCCACGGCUAACUAC